rnacentral:misc_RNA from 1 species
GUCUUAUUAUGUGUAUAUGUUUUAGAAAUAUGCUUAAUGCUACAACACAAACAUCUAAGUUUUGCUUUUCCUGUGUCAUAUUACAUUUCACAACAUUCAAGUCAAUUAAUUUCUCUUUGUGAGUAGUACAUGGUGGUGCAGGUUAAAGUUGAUUUAUCUUGGGUUAGUACUACAAGUCUCAGUUGUGAUUUUUACGUGAUCAAACUUCUGAUGAGUAAAAUUUAAAUUUUCAUUAUUUAUAGCUGUUGGAUGCAUGUGGAGGCUGGUUGGAUAAUUUUCCUUUUUAGUCAUUCAUAUUUUUGUGAUAAAACUGUUAUUUAUUUUCCAUCGACCUAUAGGUUGAUUGUUGUCUAUGCUUUUCUUGACAGGAAGAAACAAAAUGUAGUGUGA